rnacentral:rRNA from 1 species
UACGUAGGGCGCAAGCGUUGUCCGGAAUCACUGGGCGUAAAGGGCGCGUAGGCGGCUUGGCAAGUGGAUGGUGAAAUCCCUCGGCUUAACCGAGGAACUGCCGUCCAAACUGCUUAGCUUGAGACCGGGAGAGGUGAGUGGAAUUCCCAGUGUAGCGGUGAAAUGCGUAGAUAUUGGGAGGAACACCAGUGGCGAAGGCGGCUCACUGGACCGGUACUGACGCUGAGGCGCGAAAGCGUGGGGAGCAAACGGG